CCUGGCGGCUGUAGCGCGGUGGUCCCACCUGACCCCAUGCCGAACUCAGAAGUGAAACGCCGUAGCGCCGAUGGUAGUGUGGGGUCUCCCCAUGCGAGAGUAGGGAACUGCCAGAC
rnacentral:rRNA from 16 species